UGUGUGUGUGUGUAUACACACACAAGAACAAUAGGCUGAUUAUCAUAUCGAUCACAUCGAGCUUCGUUCAAUUAUAUGUCUACUAGCUAGUACUCAUUCUAAUUUUCUGAGAUUUUGUGUGACAUCAAUCAAAAUGGUUCAUAAUAACAGUCCACACUAUUAAGGAGAUCCUUCAACCAUAAAUAAGGAACAUUGUCAUCUUCUUCUUCCACUUUAUAGUUUCUUUCUUGAAUAGCAAAAAACCAUAUAAGAUUUUCUUGAUUUUAUGGUCACUAAAUACGUAAGGAUUAAAAGCUGAUGUAUAUCAAGAAAGCACGCUCCAGUAUUCUGAUACCCUAUUUUUGUUUUUUUAACAGGAUAAAUAUGGGCAGAAUUUUUCAAUUUCAGCCAAAGCUCUAAACAUAGUUUGGGGAAGAGACAGUCGCUACUGGAAAAUACCGGACAAAUCGGUAUGCCUGUGGAACUGUUGCAAGUAUCCUGGGUUGAGGUGAGUGCUUCUGUUGAUGGGAGGAAUUCUCAAAAGAACUACGAAGUAGGCUUCAGCGCGUUGUUAAAGGCCGAUGCAUUUGGUUGAAACAAGUAUCCUGUCUAUUUAUGAUGAAGAGAGGGAAGGAAGGUGAAUUUACUUCGAGAAAAGUCUUUUUGAACUCUACUAAUGCUAAUGAAAAACAAAGAUUUGACACAUCAGGGAAGUUGAUGAAGUCAGAUUCAACUGAUCCAAAAAAUUAUUUUGGUUUAUAUGAAGUAUGGAGUGGGAAGUGGAAAGGGGCCUGCAAAUUCACCAUGCAUUUGUCAGAGAAGCAUAGAGCAAAUGAAAUUUCUCAAGGACCAAUUAAUUAUUCUUCCAUAUUGUCCCAUUUAAGGGCAAAUAAUAAUAAUAAUAAUAAUAAUAAUAAUAAUAAUAAUAAUAAUAAUAAUAGCAUGAAAGAAUUCAUCUUCAGGUUAAGAUACAUAAUCAAUGAUUUGGGAGUUGUUGUUUGACAGUUUGAAUAAUUAGCCAGAUUUGUUGCCCCUUUAUUCUUAAUAAUACGAAAAGAGAUUAUUGGAACUGGUGGUUUUAAUUACUUUUUGCUAUAAAAUUAUUGUUAUUUUAUUAUUCU